rnacentral:lncRNA from 1 species
UAAACUGUGUGUAUCUGAAAAUUUUUAAAAAGCUAAAACUUUCACAUGUGUCUGACAGUUUUUCUUGUUUGUUUCAUUCUCUCCCUCCCCCUUUCUUCUACAUUUUAUGUCAACUCUGUUUAAAUAAACCUAAUUUCCACCCUGUCCCUCUUUUACAUCUUCAUCCUUUUCGGCCUGUUCUUUUAUUCCUCUGGCAUAUCUUUCUUCAUCCCAUCAUCUUCUCCCACAUAGACACAUCAGAGAAGUUGUUUCCUUGCAGACACAACAGAAUCAGGAGCUACAGGAACUCUACAAACAGUUGCGUUCCCUGAAGGAACAAAGGCUGUUUCUCUCUUGCACUUCUAUUCCACCCUCUGCUCCUCCUGUAUUCUCUCCCCACCGGAUCAGACCUCCCAAAACCAAGCUGCGCCCUCGACCCCAUACAUACACGGACAGCAAAGGAAUCAAACUGAUGGACAUCCAAAAGUGCAGCAGUUUCACAAGAGGAGAGAGGCAGCUGCAUCCCUGUAGCCCCUCAGAGCGGCUCACGCCCCCGAGCACUGAGGGAAGCGAGAGAGAAGGACCUCCAGGAGUGACCCACAGCAGUGACCACUGAAGAGGAGUCAGAGACCUGUGAAAGAAUGCAACAAUAACACGGUUUAAUACAUAAGUAAAUUUGGCUGCACAUACUUUUCAAUGUAGCCGACUGUUGAUCAAUCCUGACAGUGAAGUUAAGUCACCUAAACAUUAAAUCAAUACUUAGCCAGUCACUUUCUUCUUUUAGUGUGACAGCUUUGUAGUUCAUAAGUUUUGAAUUGAGAUUGGUGAAGAACAUCCAUCAGUCUUUGUUUAGAUCAUCAAAAGUGAAGAAACUGUAUGGCAAAUUUGUACAAAUAUCAAUGUUUUGAUGUUUAAUGAACCAGUGCUGAUGUGAACACAUCAGUUUGUCAGCAAAUAUGUGCCUUCCAUAUUCAUUUUAUUCAGCCUUUUCACACUUGCUCCAAAUAUUUUAGUGCACCGUCAUAAAAAUUUUGCAAGCUGUUGACAAUCAAAGUGGUUUGUUUAAACCAUGGAUACAAAACAAGACAUAGAAAUAAGUAACCACUUUCGCUGUUAAGUUUUAAACAAAAACUUUAAAAAAAUACUUAGGUAAUAAUGGACCAACUGGGCUUCAAUGAAGAAAAAUUGAGAUUGAAACCAGGUCAGAAACUUAAUGAUUAAGAGUUUAAAAAAAUAAUAAACAUUUUAAUUGAGGUUGACUAAGCCA